rnacentral:rRNA from 1 species
GACGAACCGUCCGAACGUUAUUCGGAAUUACUGGGCUUAAAGGGUGCGUAGGCGGCGCAGUAAGUUGGGUGUGAAAUCUCGGAGCUUAACUCCGAAACUGCAUUCGAUACUGCCGUGCUUGAGGACUGGAGAGGAGACUGGAAUUUACGGUGUAGCGGUGAAAUGCGUAGAUAUCGUAAGGAAGACCAGUGGCGAAGGCGGGUCUCUGGACAGUAACUGACGCUGAGGAGCGAAAGCGUGGGGAGCGAACAGG